UUAAACUGCUGCAUGAAGAGUAUUGUUUCUAUAAGAUUGGUUUUGUGGUUGUUCAUAUUCUGCUGGAGUUUGGAAACUAAUGGUAAGUUCCUUUCUCUUAAGGCGUUGAUUAUAUUUGUGUUUGCCUAGCUCUUGUGUUGAUUUUGUCAUCUUUUGACAGCAGGGGGUCUUGCUGGUUAGAAGGAAUAGGAAAGCUUCGUUUUGGAGGAUGGAGAGGCCUUUUCGAUCACCCCUGAAUAUAUUGCGGGAUAAGGCGUACCAUGAAGUAGGUGGUACCAUGAUGGAAUAACACUUAGGAUAGGAUGCUGGGAAGGGAAAGAAGCUACACCAGAAAGAAACUUUGAGCAUUGUUACAGCUAUUGCUAUCAGGACAGUGAAAAUCGUUCACCUCAAACGCCACGAGGCGCGCCUCAAACUGAGGCGGCUACUCGGCGAUUUGAGGCUACGUUUUUCACGUAUUGAACGAGGCUUACGCCUCCAACAUUUCGCUUUGAGGCUACGCCUUGAAGCGUUUGAGGCGUUAGCCUGACUGGCAAGGGCCUCUUGAAGAAUUUUGGGCCGACUUUUAUGAUUUUUUAUGGUGUUUUUUGGGCUGCUGUUUUAAGCCCCUUUUAAUUGCUGCUGGAGUGUGAUCUGAAAAGAAAAAGAAGGAAAGUUGUGAACCUAAAGUGAUUUUGAACUGCUGGAGCAGAAUAAAAUGAUGUUGCUGGAGAAGAAUAAAACGAUGUUAAAGUCUGAACAACUACGGCAGUAAUACAUAGCAACUCCGACGACUGGGAAACUUGACGGGGGACAAGAAGAAACUUGUACUGACUAAAGAAGAAGAUUUGGAAGAUGAGAAUGAGAAUUAUUUGAAAGUUGAUGGUGUUUAUGUUCAUUUUUUGGAUUAUUUAUGGCAUAUUUAUGAUUUUUUUUUUUGUUUCAUUCGAGGCUUACACCUUGUCUCAAUUAGACAAAAUGAUUCAGUUCUCGUUUCCGCCUUUUAAAACCUUGAUUAGAAUU